GAUGAACGCUGGCGGCGUGCCUAAUACAUGCAAGUCGAGCGAACGGACGAGAAGCUUGCUUCUCUGAUGUUAGCGGCGGACGGGUGAGUAACACGUGGAUAACCUACCUAUAAGACUGGGAUAACUUCGGGAAACCGGAGCUAAUACCGGAUAAUAUUUUGAACCGCAUGGUUCAAAAGUGAAAGAUGGUCUUGCUGUCACUUAUAGAUGGAUCCGCGCUGCAUUAGCUAGUUGGUAAGGUAACGGCUUACCAAGGCAACGAUGCAUAGCCGACCUGAGAGGGUGAUCGGCCACACUGGAACUGAGACACGGUCCAGACUCCUACGGGAGGCAGCAGUAGGGAAUCUUCCGCAAUGGGCGAAAGCCUGACGGAGCAACGCCGCGUGAGUGAUGAAGGUCUUCGGAUCGUAAAACUCUGUUAUUAGGGAAGAACAUAUGUGUAAGUAACUGUGCACAUCUUGACGGUACCUAAUCAGAAAGCCACGGCUAACUACGU
rnacentral:rRNA from 1 species